AAGGAUCAUUAAUGAAUUUUGAAAGGGGUUGUAGCUGGCCGUCUCUUUGGGGCGGCAUGUGCACGCCCUGAUCACUAUCCAUCUCACACACCUGUGCACACACUGUAGGUUGGCUUGUGAUUGGAGCUUACAGUCUUCAUUGACUUUGCUCUGGUUGGAGGCCCUCCUAUGUAUUAUCACAAACUACUUCAGUUUAAAGAAUGUACUCUUGCGUCUAACGCAUUUAAAUACAACUUUCAGCAACGGAUCUCUUGGCUCUCGCAUCGAUGAAGAACGCAGCGAAAUGCGAUAAGUAAUGUGAAUUGCAGAAUUCAGUGAAUCAUCGAAUCUUUGAACGCACCUUGCGCUCCUUGGUAUUCCGAGGAGCAUGCCUGUUUGAGUGUCAUGGAAUUCUCAACUCUAUUUGCUUUUGUGAAUAGAGCUUGGAUUUGGAGGUUUAUUGCUGGUACUUGUGAUCGGCUCCUCUUGAAUGCAUUAGCUCGAACCUUUGCGGAUCAGCUAUCGGUGUGAUAAUUGUCUACGCCGUUGCAGUGAAGCAUAUCAAUGGGCUCGGCUUCCAAUCGUCCUUUACUGGACAAUGACUUUGACCUUUGACCUCAAAUCAGGUAGGAUUACCCGCUGAACUUAA
rnacentral:rRNA from 1 species